rnacentral:lncRNA from 1 species
CCGGGAGAGACCUCGUAACGGAACUGGGACGCCAGCGCUGCAUUGUGGGAGCUUUUAAAGCGGCGGGGAGCUCGGCGCGACCCUCGGGCCCACCGGGCCACGCUCGCCCGGCCCGCGACGCCCCCCCGCUGUCGCCUGGCCCGCGACGCACCGAGGCCUGAGGACCCGAAAGCCGGGCGCGGGGAGAUGACCGGUGGCUCGUGACGGUCCCACGGGCAAAAUCUUCCAUCGCCCGGGGCUGAGACUUGUCAAACUGCCCUCUACGGUCACCCGGAAAGUAGGAGGCUUUUUCUGCAGAGGGGAAAAAAAUCAAAAAGAGCCGUUCCAUCCCCCCUCCAAGGACUGGGUUUGAAUUGCUUUUCAUCUGCAGUGGCUGUGAUUCAGCGUCCCUCUUAGCAGCAGGCAAUGACAGAGGCAGGAGAGGGGAAAAAAAAAAAGAAAGAAAGAAAAAACACAGCAAAUGAAUCAAACGGACGUAGCAGGCAAGAGUGUGGUUAUCGUUGGACCAGGAUUCAGGAUCUGACUGAGUAGCUGACUCUUAAUCCAGUUUGUGUUGAUCACCAGGAGGAUCUGGACCUCAGUAUUACCACAUCUAGAGGUGAUAUGCCAACUCCACCUUUGCCUUCCACCAUGUUUGGAAGCUCCCUGAGGCCUCACCAGGAGCAGAUGCUCGUCCCAUGCUUCCUAUAAGCCUGCAGAACUGUGAGCCAUAAUAAACUGUGAAUUAUAAAUUGCCUUUAUAGCAAUGCAAAUGGACCAGUACAGAUGGGAUGCUGGGAAGACAGUUGUUUCCACCUUCAGUAAAGUCCGUGGAACACAGUUGUGACUAUAUUCUAGGCCAGCCAAGAUGCUUGUACUCAGAAAGGAG